rnacentral:rRNA from 1 species
UCGUCCUACGGGAGGCAGCAGUGAGGAAUAUUGGUCAAUGGGCUUACGCCUGAACCAGCCAAGUCGCGUAAGGGAAGACUGCCCUAUGGGUUGUAAACCUCUUUUGUCAGGGGGCAACGCCGGCUACGUGUAGCCGGACUGAGAGUACCUGAAGAAAAAGCAUCGGCUAACUCCGUGCCAGCAGCCGCGGUAAUACGGAGGAUGCGAGCGUUAUCAGGAUUUAUUGGGUUUAAAGGGUGCGUAGGCGGAAUGCCAAGUCAGCGGUAAAAUCGAUGGGCUCAAC